UCUGUGGAUCGUCAUAUCAAAUGAAAGUAGUUGUAGACAGUAAUGUCAUAACAAAAUCAGACGGGAUGAAACAGAAA
rnacentral:sRNA from 12 species